AUUGAACGCUGGCGGCAUGCUUUACACAUGCAAGUCGAACGGUAACAGGCCGCAAGGUGCUGACGAGUGGCGAACGGGUGAGUAAUGCAUCGGAACGUGCCCAGUCGUGGGGGAUAACUACUCGAAAGAGUAGCUAAUACCGCAUACGAUCUAUGGAUGAAAGCGGGGGACCGUAAGGCCUCGCGCGAUUGGAGCGGCCGAUGUCAGAUUAGGUAGUUGGUGGGGUAAAGGCUCACCAAGCCAACGAUCUGUAGCUGGUCUGAGAGGACGACCAGCCACACUGGGACUGAGACACGGCCCAGACUCCUACGGGAGGCAGCAGUGGGGAAUUUUGGACAAUGGGCGCAAGCCUGAUCCAGAAAUGCCGCGUGCAGGAAGAAGGCCUUCGGGUUGUAAACUGCUUUUGUACGGAACGAAACGGCUCUGGUUAAUACCCGGGGCUAAUGACGGUACCGUAAGAAUAAGCACCGGCUAACUACGUG
rnacentral:rRNA from 1 species